rnacentral:misc_RNA from 1 species
GAAAUGCGAUACUUGGUGUGAAUUGCAGAAUCCCGUGAACCAUCGAGUCUUUGAACGCAAGUUGCGCCCGAAGCCUUCGGGCCGAGGGCACGUCUGCAUGGGCGUCACGCACAGCGUCGCCCCCACCCCACUCGUGGGGCGUGGGGCGGAUUCUGGCCCCCCGUGUGCUCCCGCGCGCGGUCGGCCUAAAAUCAGACCCCGUGGCCGCGAAAUGCCGCGACGAUUGGUGGUGUACGUGGCGGCCUCGAGCCUCCGAACAUCGCGUCGCGCCUUCCGUGGCCCUCUGGAGUCAAGAGGACCCUCGAGAGCCCUCCGCCGGUGCGGAGGGGCCUCUCAACCGUUGCGACCCCAUGUCAGGCGGGACUACCCGCUGAGUUUAA